UACGAAGGGGGCUAGCGUUGCUCGGAAUCACUGGGCGUAAAGCGCACGUAGGCGGACUCUUAAGUCGGUGGUGAAAUCCUGGAGCUCAACUCCAGAACUGCCUUCGAUACUGGGAGUCUCGGGUUCGGGAGAGGUGAGUGGAACUGCGAGUGUAGAGGUGAAAUUCGUAGAUAUUCGCAAGAACACCAGUGGCGAAGGCGGCUCACUGGCCCGAUACUGACGCUGAGGUGCGAAAGCGUGGGGAGCAAACAGG
rnacentral:rRNA from 1 species